UACGUAGGGAGCAAGCGUUAUCCGGAUUUAUUGGGUGUAAAGGGUGCGUAGACGGGAGAGCAAGUUGGUUGUGAAAUCCCUCGGCUUAACUGAGGAACUGCAACCAAAACUACUUUUCUUGAGUGCUGGAGAGGAAAGUGGAAUUCCUAGUGUAGCGGUGAAAUGCGUAGAUAUUAGGAGGAACACCAGUGGCGAAGGCGACUUUCUGGACAGUAACUGACGUUGAGGCACGAAAGUGUGGGGAGCAAACAGG
rnacentral:rRNA from 1 species